UGGUCAUUACCAAGGCUUUUAGAAUUGCAGUUUCUCAUUUGCUGUGGACAUGACCGUAAAAAAAAAUCCCCAGUAGGUUUUUUUUGGUAUGCUGCUCACUUGGCUAGCAGUCAGCCUAUUGGGAACAUUU
rnacentral:snoRNA from 1 species